rnacentral:rRNA from 1 species
UACGUAGGGGGCUAGCGUUGUCCGGAAUCAUUGGGCGUAAAGAGCGUGUAGGCGGUCCGGUAAGUCCGCUGUGAAAGUCGGGGGCUCAACCCUCGAAUGCCGGUGGAUACUGUCGGGCUAGAGUGCGGAAGAGGCGAGUGGAAUUCCUGGUGUAGCGGUGAAAUGCGCAGAUAUCAGGAGGAACACCUGUUGCGAAGGCAGCUCGCUGGGACGUAACUGACGCUGAGACGCGAAAGCGUGGGGAGCAAACGGG